UUGAAACGCCGGUUUCCGUACGAUCAUCGAAGUUAAGCAACGUCUAGAUUGUUCAGUACCUAGAUGGGUGACCUCUUGGAGAUACCAGUUGCUGUAAG